AUUCUUCGGUCAAAAGUCAUGAAGAAACUCAAGUAACAGAAUUUAUUUGGUCGAAAUAACGAAAGUUGUUUGGUUAAAAGACAAUAAAAGCUGAAUAAAAUUAUUAAAAAAGCAAUUUAAUAUUGACAAAAAUACAGAAAUUAUUCAGUCAAAGUUAAUAAAGUAACCCAUGUAACUGAAGUUAUUUGGUCAAAAGAACAAAAGUCAUUUGGUUAAAAGACAACAAAGCUGAAUCAAAUUAUUAAAAAGCAAUUUAAAAUUGUCAGAAACACAAGUUACUCUGUCAAAGUUAGUAAAGUAUCCCAAGUUAUUUUGGCAAAUGAGCUUUUGCUGCCUAAUUUUGCUAUAUUUACUAAUUAACUUCAGUAUUUAAUAUACUUAUUAAAUUAUUAACAAAAUGACAGAAAUGAUUCUGUCAUUGGUUAAUGAGUUAUUAGCUGAAGUAGAAAGGUCAAAUACUUUGGUGUGUUCUGGAAAAUUCCAUUCCUCAACCGAAGCAUUCAGUUAAAGCAGAUUGACGGAAGUUUUUGACAGCUUUCUGUUUUCUCCUGAUUUCUUUGUAAUUAUGGAGUGAAAAACUGUGAAAAAAUAGUGUAAAAGCAAUGAAAAUCCUUCAUGAGUGAUUAUUCAAGAGUUUUCAAGUGCUAUUGUAAUGAAAUUAGCAAGUUUUAGCACUAAAAUUGAGAUAUUGCGUUGUGAGUGAAAAAAAAAACGAAGCCAUUUUGUUUUCCUUUGUGAGUACGUUGACUGAAAUGAUUGGUUAAAUCCGAAUGGGUGAGUGGUACAAAUAUAUUAUAUAUAAUCGUUUUUCUACAAAUCAAACAAGUUUUGACAUGUCAUUCAGUCACUGAGCAUUUCUUUUAUUUGAAUUAAUUAAUUCUGUUAUAAUAUUAUAUAAAUGAAAAACUUUUCCUUUUCUAAUCAAUUAUAUUUUCUUUUUUGACUAUUUGAUUCGGCUUUUUUGUCUUUUAACCAAACAACUUUUGUUAUUUUAACCAAAUAACUUCAGUUACUUGGGUUACCUUGUUAACUUUGACUGGAAAACUUUUGUGUUUUUGACAAUUUCAAAUUGCUUUUUUUAAUAAUUUUAUUCAGCUUUAUUGUCUUUUAACCAAACAACUUUUGUUAUUUUAACCAAAUAACUUCAGUUACUUGAGUUGCUUCAUGAAUUUUGACUGAAAAACUACAGUGUUUUUGACAAUUUCAAAUUGAUUUUUUAAUAAUUUUAUUCAGCUAUAUUAUCUUUUGUCUACCGAAUUGUUUACCAAAUGCUAUUUUAUAUUUUCCUUUUUUCACUUCUUUAACUUGCAAUCUUCGUCAAUAGAGAUAUGUUAGUUUGGUUAAUGAUGUGUUUAGCUGAAGUAGAAAGGUCAAAUACUUUGGUGUGUUCUGGAAAAUUCCAUUCCUCAACCGAAGCAUUCAGUUAAAGCAGAUUGACGGAAGUUUUUGACAGCUUUCUGUUUUCUCCUGAUUUCUUUGUAAUUAUGGAGUGAAAAACUGUGAAAAAAUAGUGUAAAAGCAAUGAAAAUCCUUCAUGAGUGAUUAUUCAAGAGUUUUCAAGUGCUAUUGUAAUGAAAUUAGUAAGUUUUAGCACUAAAAUUGAAGUAUUGCGUUGUGAGUGAAAAAAUGAAGCCAUUUUGUUUUCCUUUGUGAGUACGUUGACUGAAAUGAUUGGUUAAAUCCGAAUGGGUGAGUGGUGCAAAUAUAUUAUAUAUAUUCGUUUUUCUACAAAUCAAACAAGUUUUGACAUGUCGUUCCAUCGCUGAACAUUUUCUUUUAUUUGAUUAAUUAAUUCUGUUAUAAUAUUAUAUAAAUGAAAAACUUUUCCUUUUCUAAUCAAUUAUAUUUUCUUUUUUGACUAUUUGAUUCGGCUUUUUUGUCUUUUAACCAAACAACUUUUGUUACCUAUUUUAACCAAAUAACUUCAGUUACUUGGGUUACCUUGUUAACUUUGACUGGAAAACUUUUGUGUUUUUGACAAUUUCAAAUUGUUUUUUUUAAUAAUUUUAUUCAGCUUUAGAAGAAUUUCUAUAUUUUAGAUGUGUUUCUUUCAAACACAGCUUUUGUAUACCGAGCAAAAUCGAAAGUCGUCAGAUCGGGCUCAAACUUGGGAUGAGCACGAAUUAGGGUCCCCACAUUCCAAAAAACGUAUGCGCCAAAAAUUUUUUUUUCCGGCCGGCCUAAUUAUAAACUUAAAUUGCAAGAGAACGGUGAUAGAUAGAGACUUGCGGUAAACGGCAAAGUUUAAAUAUCGACCGGAAGACAUCCGAUUAUGAUGACAAAUUUUACCCCCCACCCCUCCGUCCGCCAUUUUGAAUAACCUCCAAAUUUUGUUUUGCCUAUAUCUCAGCCCCUGUAAUAGCUAAAAAUCUGAAAUUUUGAUAUGUUGUAGGGGCCAUCAAGACCUUUCCAUCGAUACAUUAUUUUCGAAAAUCGGUCAAGUCGUUUAUUCAAUAUGGCCGCUACAAUUUAUCAUGGAAAAUCGACCAUAUCUCUAAACCGGCUUGACCGAUUUUGAUCAACCCAGGGUCAAAUGAAAGCUCUUAACAUAUCCUACAAUUCUCUAGAACAUCCGAAGUUUCAAAAGUGAUUGCUAGAGGGUCAAAAAACGAAAACAAAAUUUUCGAUGAGUUUUCGAUGAAUAUCUCGAAAACGGCGACAUAUUGUUACGAUUUUUGGGAGAAAUAAAAUUACCGGAAAUAAACAAACGGUUAUUAUGAAUUUAAAUGAAACGAAACCCCAUCAAAAAUAUGUUUCGAGGUCGGUCGGCAGCUAAAAUUUUGUCUGCAGUUUAUUUUUUCAUUCAAGUGCAUUUAUCGCGCUUCGGGAGCGUUCGGCGUGGGUGCAGAAAAUUUCCGCGGUUUUCUUCAAAAAUUCGUCAAUUUGAGAGUGCAAAAAUGAUGGAAAAUUCACGCAGAAGAAAUGCGGUAAGUAAUUUUACGAUUUUCUUAAUUAAUUUGUGUAAUUUUAUCUCUUUGAUCCUACUAGAUUUCACAAAUAUCUUUUAUGGAAUGUUUUAGUAGCAUCAGAUUGAUGAAAUUGAUAGAAAACAAUGAGAAAAAAUUAAUUAUUUUGAUCUAAAAAUUCUUCAUUGCAAAAAAAGAGCCCGAAAUUGAUUUUUCUUUUUUUUUUUUUUAAUUAAUUUUCUCAAGAUAAAAAAACAAAAACUUUUGUAAACAAGAAAAAAAAGAACAAUUUAUCAAUUUUUUUCUAUAUUUCAGAUCGUUUUUGGAACACAAUCAGUGCCCAGGAUGACCAGCCCGGAAGCCUUACCCGGAUGCCCUAUUCAGGAAACCCUGCCCGGACCCCUAUCCGGAUGGCCUGCCUGGAUGCUCUACCCGGAUGCCCUGCCCGCUUCUGCUUUAAUUUUUGACAACAUUGGAAAAUGCGGAAAUAUCCGUUUGAAGCACAAAACUGUCCGUGCCUGGCUUCAGUCCUCAAUUUCUGGGAUCCGGUCUUACACAACAUUAUGCAACAUAAUUUUCCGGAAAUGGAAGUCCCGGAAGUCACAAAGGUGAAGAGGAGAGAUCAUCUGAAAAGCGGCCCAGCAUCAAAGGAGACAGCAGGAGAAGGAAAAGGCAACGCCGGAUAUAUUUUUUCAAUAUUUUUUUGUAAAUUUUAAAAAUAAUAAAUAAAAAUAUAUAAUAAAGAAAGGUCUGUUUGUUGGUAAUCAGUCGUGUUCGGCUAUACAAAUCUACACCGUUUGACCGAUUGCGAUGAAAUUUGGUACAGACGCUCCUUGUAGAUUGUAGAUUGUGGUGUGCAUCCUGGACAAUGCUGAUUGUACGGACAAACUAAGCCACUAAGGCCCUUCGUGUCCUGCUCGGCAUUUCCAUUUUCUGCUGACUACUCGUGCGUAAUGAGACAUUAAAUCAAUGCCUUGCACAGAGUUCCACAAAUUUUCCGACAAGAUUCAUGUUAAAAAACCUGUUUCGUUCCUUGGUCAAAUCACCAGCUGCCAUGACCGACAGCCUACUUAAUACUCUGACCAAUAAAUUAUCCUUAAAAAAGGCUCACACUGCUAUGCAAGAUUCAAUGGUAAGAAACUUCCAUCAUGAUCGAUGAAAAUUCCACUCAUCCACCAAAGUCUCGUGCACAGCAUAGAGCUCCCCUGGCGCAGGUAAUUCACUCAACGAAGUCUCAGAAGAUCUACCGCGAGGGGGUAUCUUGAUCAAGAUCUACGGUCGGAUCCUGAUCACCUCGUAUAUAAGAAAUCCCAAAGACAACGCCAAGCUUUACACCCGCAAACCAUUCCAAGGCAACGAAAUUCACCCAAUGGCGCCUCCAAAGCUCUCGCCCACAGAGUAACGGGCAUUCCUCCUAGUGAUUUACGAUCGAAUCACUUAGAUAAGAAAUUACACCGCCACGACCACAGAUGAGUUCCCAGAAACGCCAAUGAAUAAAUUCCGCUUACCUUAAGGAGUCCAAUAAAAUCCCACAAACACUAUUUCCCAUACUCCAUUGCCUCCCACUACGGAAGCAUACGCUCCCUCAAGUGUCAUCAUAGCAUGAUUGUUAUUCGCAAUCAGCUGAAUGGCGAAUUAGCAAAAAGUUUCGGCUUGUCGCCUCAUUCCUCACAAAAAACUUCCAACAAAAGAUCCGAAGCCCCAUUAGAUGCACACACACAUUGCACCCAUAUUGUCUCAUAUGGUGCACUCUUCAGCCACCAGCCAGCUCGGUCGUCCAACGGUGAUUGUUUUUUUGCUGAUCUCUCGCUCUCUCUGGUGCUCCAAUGGUGCCCCAUGAUGCCUCCGCAGGAAAAUUUGCAGGAAAAUGGGCUGCUUCCACUUUUCUUCACCAUUUUCACGAACUUUCGUACUCCACCAUCACUGAAAGGCUAACUCUGCCCUAUUACAGCUUAAAGCAAGCCGAAAAACGCGCUGUAAACCACUCUUGAAGCUCUUGAGCGCUUUGAGAUGGGUGCUGCGUGCUUGAAAGACCACAGACGC